GCGAUAGUAGCUCAGUUGGUAGAGCACAAGCUUCCCAAGCUUGGGGUCACGGGUUCGAGCCCCGCCUAUCGCU
rnacentral:tRNA from 1 species